rnacentral:rRNA from 1 species
UACAGAGGUCCCAAGCGUUGUCCGGAAUCAUUGGGCGUAAAGGGCGCGUAGGUGGCCCAGCAAGCGUGCGGUGAAAGCUCGGGGCUCAACCCCGAGUCGGCCGUGCGAACUGCUGGGCUGGAGCACUGUAGAGGCAGGCGGAAUUCCGGGUGUAGCGGUGGAAUGCGUAGAGAUCCGGAAGAACACCGGUGGCGAAGGCGGCCUGCUGGGCAGUUGCUGACACUGAGGCGCGACAGCGUGGGGAGCAAACAGG